GGGUAGCUCAAUUGGCAGAGCACUGGACCAAGGAUCCAGAUGUAGCGGGUUCGAGUCCCGCCCCACCA
rnacentral:tRNA from 1 species